GCACAAGCGGUGGAGCAUGUGGUUUAAUUCGAGGCAACGCGAAGAACCUUACCAGGUCUUGACAUCCCCUGACAACCCGAGAGAUCGGGCGUUCCCCUUCGGGGGACAGGGUGACAGGUGGUGCAUGGUUGUCGUCAGCUCGUGUCGUGAGAUGUUGGGUUAAGUCCCGCAACGAGCGCAACCCUCGACCUUAGUUGCCAGCAUUCAGUUGGGCACUCUAAGGUGACUGCCGGCUAAAAGUCGGAGGAAGGUGGGGAUGACGUCAAAUCAUCAUGCCCCUUAUGACCUGGGCUACACACGUGCUACAAUGGGCGGUACAAAGGGUCGCAAACCCGUAAGGGGGAGCAAAUCCACUUAAAGCCGUCCUCAGUUCGGAUUGAGGUCUGCAACUCGACCUCAUGAAGCUGGAAUCGCUAGUAAUCGCGGAUCAGCAUGCCGCGGUGAAUACGUUCCCGGGCCUU
rnacentral:rRNA from 1 species